rnacentral:rRNA from 1 species
ACUCAAAUGAAUUGACGGGGGCCCGCACAAGCGGUGGAGCAUGUGGCUCAAUUCGAUGCAACGCGAAGAACCUUACCUAGCCUUGACAUGCAUUGGACCGGCGCUGAAAGGCGCCUUUCCCGCAAGGGACCGGUGCACAGGUGCUGCAUGGCUGUCGUCAGCUCGUGUCGUGAGAUGUUGCGUUAAGUCGCGCAACGAGCGCAACCCCUGUCCUUAGUUGCCACCAUUAAGUUGGGCACUCUAGGGAGACAAACCCUCUUUGAGGGUGGGAAGGUGGGGAUGACGUCAAGUCAGGAUGGCCCUUACGGCUAGGGCUGCACACGUGCUACAAUGCCCAGUACAGAGGGAAGCAAGACCGCGAGGUGGAGCAAAUCCUUAAAACUGGGCCCAGUUCAGAUUGUAGUCUGCAACUCGACUACAUGAAGUUGGAAUCGCUAGUAAUGGCGUAUCAGCUACGACGCCGUGAAUACGUUCCCGGGCCUUGUACACACCGCCCGU